AUUGAACGCUGGCGGCAUGCCUUACACAUGCAAGUCGAACGGCAGCACGGGUGCUUGCACCUGGUGGCGAGUGGCGAACGGGUGAGUAAUACAUCGGAACAUGUCCUGUAGUGGGGGAUAGCCCGGCGAAAGCCGGAUUCAUACCGCAUACGAUCUACGGAUGAAAGCGGGGGACCUUCGGGCCUCGCGCUAUAGGGUUGGCCGAUGGCUGAUUAGCUAGUUGGUGGGGUAAAGGCCUACCAAGGCGACGAUCAGUAGCUAGUCUGAGAGGACGACCAGCCACACUGGGACUGAGACACGGCCCAGACUCCUACGGGAGGCAGCAGUGGGGAAUUUUGGACAAUGGGCGAAAGCCUGAUCCAGCAAUGCCGCGUGUGUGAAGAAGGCCUUCGGGUUGUAAAGCACUUUUGUCCGGAAAGAAAUCCUUGGCCCUAAUACGGUCGGGGGAUGACGGUACCGGAAGAAUAAGCACCGGCUAACUACGUG
rnacentral:rRNA from 1 species